GUCUGAUCUUCCUCCUUCAUAUUAUUGUCUUCGACCUCCAUGACGAAGGUUUUCUUUUCGUUAUUUUUAUACUUCGCAAAUUAUUUUCCUUUAUAUGUCUUUAUUUUCCUUGUUUUUACGAGAUCUUGAAAGCUUAAGUGACCCUUUUUAAUUUCUUGUUUAUUUUAACUUGUUAUAGAUCAUACAAAUUUGUUGCUAUAGUUUGAUUGCUUGCAACCUUAUUAAUAUAUAUUUCAAUAUGUUUAAUCUUGUUAAAUUUGAUACCCUUAACUUGAGAUCUGAAACAAGCUUUAUUAAGGAACUUACCAAUACCUUCGUGUGUCCGAAUUUUGCCAAUAACAUUUGUUCAUUUCAUCGAUUUGUAGAGUCGAUAGACGACGUCACUUAUGUCGUUUAUUAUACCAAUAGAUGUUCAUGUUGCUCUUUAAUCAAUUUAUGGUUUAGCAAGUAGGCUAGAAAUUCAUUCUCUUUCAAGAAUUCACUUGUGUCCUUGUUUUCAUGUCUGUUAAUUACGUCUGUAAAUAAAUCCUCAUUAAUAUGAAUUAAUAAGUAAGUAUGAACUUACUUACCUACUCUAACUUCGGAUGGCUAUAUUGCUUCUUUAAUUUUCAAAUUUGUAUUUAUUUUCUUUUGCUUAGUACUUAGUCUCACAUUAACAGCUGUUGGAUAUUCCUCGCUGGUCCGGUCGCAAAGUCAACUUUGUUUAUAAUU